rnacentral:rRNA from 1 species
UGGGGAAUAUUGCACAAUGGGCGAAAGCCUGAUGCAGCAACGCCGCGUGAGUGAUGAAGGCCUUCGGGUUGUAAAGCUCUGUCUUCUGGGACGAUAAUGACGGUACCAGAGGAGGAAGCCACGGCUAACUACGUGCCAGCAGCCGCGGUAAUACGUAGGUGGCAAGCGUUGUCCGGAUUUACUGGGCGUAAAGGAUGCGUAGGCGGAUAUUUAAGUGAGAUGUGAAAUUCCCGGGCUUAACUUGGGAGCUGCAUUUCAAACUGGGUAUCUAGAGUGUGGGAGAGGAAAGUGGAAUUCCUAGUGUAGCGGUGAAAUGCGUAGAGAUUAGAAAGAACCCCAGUGGCGAAGGCGACUUUCUGGACCAUAACUGACGCUGAGGCAUGAAAGCGUGGGGAGCAAACA